GACGAACGCUGGCGGCGUGCUUAACACAUGCAAGUCGAACGGAAAGGCCCUGCUUUUGUGGGGUGCUCGAGUGGCGAACGGGUGAGUAACACGUGAGUAACCUGCCCUUGACUUUGGGAUAACUUCAGGAAACUGGGGCUAAUACCGGAUAGGAGCUCCUGCUGCAUGGUGGGGGUUGGAAAGUUUCGGCGGUUGGGUAUGGACUCGCGGCUUAUCAGCUUGUUGGUGGGGUAGUGGCUUACCAAGGCUUUGACGGGUAGCCGGCCUGAGAGGGUGACCGGCCACAUUGGGACUGAGAUACGGCACAGACUCCUACGGGAGGCAGCAGUGGGGAAUAUUGCACAAUGGGCGGAAGCCUGAUGCAGCAACGCCGCGUGCGGGAUGACGGCAUUCGGGUUGUAAACCGCUUUCGCCUGUGACGAAGCGUGAGUGACGGUAAUGGGUAAAGAAGCACCGGCUAACUACGUG
rnacentral:rRNA from 1 species